rnacentral:rRNA from 1 species
CUGGUUGAUUCUGCCAGUAGUUAUAUGCUUGUCUCAAAGAUUAAGCCAUGCAUGUCUAAGUACAAACUGUUUUUAUAGUGAAACCGCAAAAGGCUCAGUACAACAGUUAUCAUUUAUUUGAUCAAUUAAAACAGUUACUUGGAUAACUGUGGUAAUUCCAGAGCUAAUACAUGCAAACAACAUGAAUCAUUCAUAGCAAUAUGGAUUGAGACAUGUGCUUUUAUUAGACUUUAAAACCAAUAUCUACACCUUUCACGGGGUGUAGGUUUGUUUUAGAUGAAUCUGGAUAAUUAUGGCUGAUCGUAUGGUCUUUGCACCGACGAUAGAUCAUUCAAAUGUCUGCCCUAUCAACUAUUGAUGGUAGUAUAGAGGACUACCAUGGUUGCAACGGGUAACGGGGAAUCAGGGUUCGAUUCCGGAGAGGGAGCCUGAGAAACGGCUACCACAUCUAAGGAAGGCAGCAGGCGCGUAAAUUACCCAAUCCCGGCACGGGGAGGUAGUGACGAAAAAUAACAAUACAGGACUCACAUCCGAGGCCCUGUAAUUGGAAUGAGUACACGUUAAAUCUUUUAACAAGUAACAAUUGGAGGGCAAGUCUGGUGCCAGCAGCCGCGGUAAUUCCAGCUCCAAUAGCGUAUAUUAAAGUUGUUGCGGUUAAAACGUUCGUAGUUGAAUUUGUGUCCCACACGGGUAAUGCACCCAAGUGCGGGUUUUGCAUUACUUGUUGCAUAUGUAUGUCUACCGUCAAAAAGUGGCGCAUAUUGUAUGUGACUUUAAGUGUGACGGAUGUUUUACCGGUGAGGGAAACGAUUAUCAUCAUAUAGUGCUUCAUUUUUAAUGGACUCUAUUGUUAAUACGCCCCUUAUGCGUAUAACCCACUUUGGUGCUCUUCACCGAGUGCCACUGUGGGCCGGUACAGUUACUUUGAACAAAUUAGAGUGCUCAAAGCAGGGUAAAUUUAAUGUAAAAGUUAAAACGCCUGAAUAUAUUUUGCAUGGAAUAAUGGAAUAGGACCUCUGUUCUAUUUUCACAAUUGGUUUUAUAGAGAUCCAAGAGGUAAUGAUUAAUAGAAGCAGUUGGGGGCAUUAGUAUUACGAGGCGAGAGGUGAAAUUCGUAGACCCUCGUAAGACUGACUUAAGCGAAAGCAUCUGCCAAGGAUGUUUUCAUUAAUCAAGAACGAAAGUUAGAGGAUCGAAGGCGAUCAGAUACCGCCCUAGUUCUAACCAUAAACGAUGCCAGCUAGCAAUUGGAUGUAGCUACUUUAUCUCUAGGCUCAUUCAGUCGCUUUCCGGGAAACCAAAGCUUUUGGGCUCCGGGGGAAGUAUGGUUGCAAAGCUGAAACUUAAAGGAAUUGACGGAAGGGCACCACCAGGAGUGGAGCCUGCGGCUUAAUUUGACUCAACACGGGAAAACUUACCAGGUCCGAACAUAAAUGAGUAAGACAGAUUGAUAGCUCUUUCUCGAAUCUAUGGGUGGUGGUGCAUGGCCGUUCUUAGUUCGUGGAGUGAUUUGUCUGGUUAAUUCCGAUAACGAACGAGACUCAAACGCCUUUAAAUAGAUGCUUGCAGGACUAUGGCGCUGAAACCAUAUGUAUUCCUCUGAUUGGAAUGGGCACCUCGUGUGUUUUGUUCUGAUUUGUGGGUAUUUUAUGUAUGGUGGAGCCAUACCUGUUUGGUUUGUCUUGAGAGGACACUCUGCUUCUUAAACGGACAAAAUGCGUCUAGCAUUAAUGAGGAUGAGCAAUAACAGGUCUGUGAUGCCCUUAGAUGUCCUGGGCUGCACGCGCGCUACAAUGAAGGUAUCAAUGUGUUUUAUCCUUGACCGAGAGGUAUGGGUAAACAUUGAACUACCUUCGUGGUUGGGAUUGUGGACUGUAACUGUUCGCAUGAACCCGGAAUUCCCAGUAAGUGUGAGUCAUAAGCUUGCAUUGAUUACGUCCCUGCCCUUUGUACACACCGCCCGUCGCUACUACUGAUGAAUUGUUUAGUGAGGUCUCUGGACGUGUGCUACUAAUUGUCCUUUAUUGGGCGAUUUGGUAUAUGCUACACCGAAGUUGACCGAACUUGAUUAUUUAGAGGAAGUAAAAGUCGUAACAAGGUUUCCGUAGGUGAACCUGCAG